UUAUUAAAUUAAACAUCUUAAUUUGACUUACCAAGAACAUCUCUCAGGCUGCAUUAUGAGCCCCCGAUGGCCAACUGAAGAACUCGUUCACCGAUCCUGGCAUCAAUCGUUGGAUGAUUCCAAUAAUCACACAAGGCACGGAGCUCUCUAUAACUGUGCUGUAAAAUUGAUUUUGAACAAUAAAUGUUACAUUUUACGAUGGCUAAAUUUUAAAAAUAUUCAAUAAAGAUAUAAUACUUACGAUUGGCUCUGAAUGUGGAUGAGCUCUCUAUCAUCCGAUCAAGUUGGAGGUGCCACGGCCGGGUGGGUCCUCUACUAUGCCUCUGUGUCUAGGAGCUGGUCGCUAGUGCGUGUGACUAUGGGGUCACUAGUGACCCCCUGUCCUCCAAAUUUGAGUACAAAAUAUCUAAAUAAAGAAUGUUAUAUUAAUUAGCAAAAGAUAAAAUAAUAUAAACAAGAAUAUCUAAAGUGUUAAAGUUUAUCACUGGGUGUGAGAAGUGCAGAACCCUAUAAGUUGGCUGCAUGAUUGCUCUCUCCUCGAGAGCUCUAUCCUCCACUGGCAUGCUCCGAUCUCUGAAAGACAUGAUGCAUAAUCUCUAAAAAUAAAAAUAAAUAGAUUCAUCAAAUUAAUUAUAUAAUUAUGGAUGGCAAUGUAAGAUUUAAAAUGAUUCAAGGAUUAUAUGUUUUGCACUACUCAUCGGCAUCUUCAAAUGUCUAGUACCCUUCGAAUUCUUCUUCUGAUUCUUCCUCUUCUUCUACUCUUCCUCUUCUUCCAUCUCUUCCUCUUCUUUUAGUUCUUCUUCUUCCUCUUCUUUUUCUUCUUGGAUAGGAUUAUCUUUUAAAAUAAAAUCAGUUGGAUCUACCUUCUUAUGUUGGCCAUCAUGUAUGACAAUUCCUGGA
rnacentral:lncRNA from 1 species